UUAUUUGGCUCUGUGUCCUUCAAGAACACAAAGGUGAUGUCUUCGGUUGUGCUGCAUCAUAAGCUGGCCUAGUGAGCUUAAGGGGAGCCCCGUGUACUCUCCCCAAGAUGAUGUUGCACCCAGCCUUGCAAAACACUGGAAAGAAACGAUGGCUUCCUCAGGGUCUCCUCAGCCUUGGAGGCAGAGAGGCCAGGGUGUGGCAGACAAUUCCAGACCCAUCACUUCCCAGCGGGGUGAUACUGGGGAGGUUCCGUCUCCUCAUCUGUUGAACGAGCACGAUUCUGUGCGUGUCACCAGGUAGCAGUGGGAGCUAAAGGAGCCCCGCUGUUGGUAAGCAGGAGUCUUUCUAGCUAUUUCCACCAGAAAUGGCAGCGGAGCAGGGCAGAAGGAGCACCCAUCUCCAGGUCAGGGCCGAAGGGGAAGGAGUCUUUACAUACAGGAAUGCUACCGGUCUCUGUCACACCCUCAACCUCCAGCUUUGCUCGAAGGUCCGAUUACCAGCUUGUCUCCAACGUAUGACCACCCCCCCACCCCAAGCCCAGCCCAGUCCAGAGCAGCCCCAUGGUGGCUCCGCUCCCAGGCCCGCCCCGUGGGCUGCUGGGGGUCACAAGCAGAGGCAGGGGACAUCUCAGUACACGGUCUAUGGACACGUCUCUCCCCGUCUGUCAUCACUCUUUCGACCCCCAAAGAAUGCCUGAACACUUGGCUUCUCCAGCCUCUUUUGGAGGAAAGAAAUGUCUCAGGUUCCUUUAACUUUGGGCCACGCUGUCUCCCUUCUACCCCAGCUCAUCCAGUGCACAGGAGGAAUGGCCGCCCUGUGGAAGGAGGAUUCUAUCACUGACAGAGUUCAGAAUCACCGGUGCAUGGCAAUUAGAGAUUUCAAAAGCGGCAAGCUCUCGAGAGAGUGCACCCCUCAUGGCACACCCACCCCCGCACCCCUCAUCUCCUGGGUGCCCCCCCUCUUUCUGCUCCUGAUGCUCAUCACAAAGAGCGAUAUGCACUCCUGCUCACAUCUCUGCUACAGGAGCUGUCGGGAGAGAAGCUUGUGAGAACUCAAGAAAAGGGUGCUCUCCUUCUCCCUGGAAGUUAUUUUUGGGCCCAUGGGGCAAGCAAAGAAAUGACUCCUCUGCAGAGAUCAUCACAGACAUAUGAGAAGGGUCCUGGGGGCCUCCUUUUUCUUCUUGUUUUUUUUUUCCUUUGUUUGCAGCUCACCACAUUUAAUGAGGAAGUACUGACCAUAAGGAGAGGAAACUUUCACCCCAACCACUCCCAGGACCCGCGUCCCCAUCAGCAGUGAGAUGAGGAAACUGAGGCCAAUGAAGUGAAGAGAUUCCCCAGGUGACACGGGGAGUGAUAGAGCCAAGACGUUAACCUGUCCGAAGCCAAGGUCACCGGUUAGUCAGUCACACAGCUCCUCCAGGGUGCCAUGGGCUACCCCGUUUAUAAUGCCUUUCAGCUAAGGAUGCCCAAAAUACCUCAUCAAUGGAGAAUGAUCACCUUCUUGAAAACUUGGAAACGAAUCCUUCUAAAGCAAAUGAGUUUCCACACCUGGGGUUAAUGAUAAAGCUGGAAAAAUGCAAAGA